AGGGUGUUGAGACUCUGGAACAGGCUGCCCAAAGAAGUGGUAAAUGCCCCAUCCCUGGCAGUGUUCAAGGCCAGGUUGGACAGAGCCUUGGGUGACAUGGUCUUGUGUGAGGUGUCCCUGCCCAUGGCAGGGGGUUGGAACUGGGUGAUCUUAAGGUCCUUUCCAACCCAAACCAGCCUGUGAUUCUAUGAUUUUAAGAAUUUGGAUACAUCUACAUUUUGAGAAGGCAAAGAGUCUGUCUCCUCUAAUUUAACUCCUAGAGCCUGUACAUGUUGUUACAAAUCUGCUUGGUUUUGUGUUUUGUUUUUUUAUUUCCUGAUCCAUUUGAAAAGUAGGACGUAAAUAAUAUGUCUAAAUGCUGCUGCUUUCUACCUAAACUAAGGCUAGGUUGAAAGCAUUCAUGGUCUGGCGCUACUGAAGAGAAAUAGGCAAAGGAAGCUCAGCAGCAGUUGUGGUUUGAUUUGCACUGUGAUAGAUUUGCUCUGGUUGCAGCAAUGCCAAGUAACUUCACUAAAAAAUUCAAGGUAGGUUAAACACGUAAUGGUCUCACAGCUCACAGCUGUCGAUGGGAGGGAGCGUUAAAUUUUAAUAUCCCUUUUUGUCUGAGAUGCUCUUCUUAAUGGAGUUGCAUUCCCUAAGUCUCUGCUAAAGCUUGUGUACCUAUCUAGUGAAAAAUGCCAGCGUUUAACAAGUUACGUUGCCUUCUCACUUAGGAUAGGCAAUCCUACCCUCGCGUGAAGAAAAAGGUCAAUAUUUGCUGUCAUAAAUCGUAACUGAAGAUCACAUACUUUGCAAGUCAGAAGCUGAAAGUUUUAAAACUUUUCCUAAACUCUGUCCCACGUUUGUGCAUUUUAGGUGUUCGCCUGCACGAUGGAUCAGUACACACAAGAAUCGCAUGGAUCAGUUGUCGUGCAGUGCAAGUUACUGCAAGCUCGCCUAGAUAGCAUCUUUGUCAGAGGGAGUUGCUUUCCAGGUACUUCUUAUGGUAGCUGCAGCCCAGUAGUUCUGGACACACGCUAGCUUGGACAGAUGUGCCCAUGUUAACAGCUGUGUUUCAAAAACAGUAUUCCACAGCACGUGACCAGGAGCAGAAGUGGAAAUAGCUGUUCCUGCUCUCCCCUUUCCAAGAUUUACUUUGUAAGCCAACUUCAUUUAAAAUAUUCAGAGGCAGGAGAGGUGAUGCAAUGAGCACAUCACCACAUGCCCACAGGGAAGACAAUGAUGAAUUUCAAGUGCAAAACUUUCCUUCCAUCUCUCUGAUUGAAAAGGACUAAACAACAACUACAUAAAGGGAGGAGAGGCUACGAAAGGAAUUGUAUGUGUUUUCCUGGAAGCGCUGCAAAGACCAGUGAAUAUUUUUACAAAGUGAUUUAGACCUGCAGUGGCACUUCUUCAGUAAGUAAAACAUCCGUGUCUCCAGGAGCUCAAUAUUACCAGGCGUUUCUAUUACUGAAUACCAGUUUUUCAGCAGCUGCUGAAAAAUAGAGUAGAGUAAAAAGGAAAGGAAAACCUUUGGGUAACUAACUUCAUGACACUCAUGUACUGGUCUGUAUCCCUUUUUUGUAUUCCUUCUCAAGAAAGCAAUUCUGUAUGGAACAGACUGAAAUGCACAUCACAGUUGCAGUCAGUGUUGAUGGCAAAAUGUGAGUUAAGAAGAGCUCUCUAACAGCUGAGGUUUUAGCUGGCCCAGGAAGGUAGUGAAGAGUGACCUACUGAUUUCAAAGGAAGCUGGAAUGAUAUGAAUGUGUGGAUGAAUAGCUGAGUGGCAGGACAGCAGAGAUGAGCUGUAAAUAAAACGGGGGAAAGAAAAAGGUUGGGCAUGUUGCUGAAGCAGAAGGCACAGAAUGUUAUUAUUUUUUUAGCAUCACAUUGUGCAGGUCUGUGCAAUGCACUCUGGAGGUAAGUCAGAACAGUGGAAUUCAGUGUUAGGGAACAUUGCAGAGAACAGCAGCUGCCAGGAGAGUGCUUUCAACUGUAGUCACAUACAACAUUAGGAAGAGUAUGGGACAAAAGUGGUGUGAUACCAUUUGUGUCAGCGCAGAAACAAAGAGGAUUCUUUGCCAGUGAGAGUCUGCUUGUAGUUUCCUGCUGUGGAUAUGCUGUCCUCUACUGUGAUUUAUCCUGCAGUUGGAAAAAACCAGGUAUUUCUUUAGGAUACGGUCACAAUCCCAUUCUCAUGCUUAGCGGAUGAAUGCACAGGGUGGAGUGUGCUGGGUGCUCUUU
rnacentral:lncRNA from 1 species